rnacentral:rRNA from 1 species
AGGUGCUGCAUGGCUGUCGUCAGCUCGUGCCGUGAGGUGGUUGGUUAACGUCCCGCAACGAGCGCAACCCUAUUUUUAGUUGCCAUCAGGUUAAGCUGGGCACUCUAAAGAGACUGCCGUCGAUAAGGCGGAGGAAGGUGGGGACGACGUCAAGUCAUCAUGGCCCUUAUGUCCAGGGCGACACACGUGCUACAAUGGCCGGCACAACGGGAAGCGAGUUCGCGAGGACGAGCGGAUCCCUCAAAGCCGGUCGCAGUUCGGAUUGAAGUCUGCAACUCGACUUCAUGAAGCUGGAAUCGCUAGUAAUCGUGGAUCAGCCAAGCCGCGGUGAAUACGUUCCCGGGCCUU